UAUUGGUCCUCUCGCAACAAUAGCAGGUGAAUUUGGUCAGGCCCGGAAGGGAGCAGCCACAGCGUGUGAUUUGUGUGCCGGGAUGUGGCUGGUAAGG
rfam:Pseudoalteromonas ulvae strain TC14 Contig_28, whole genome shotgun sequence.